rnacentral:rRNA from 1 species
UACCAGCACCCCGAGUGGUCGGGACGAUUAUUGGGCCUAAAGCAUCCGUAGCCGGUCCUGCAAGUCUUCCGUUAAAUCCAGCUGCUCAACAGAUGGGCUGCGGGAGAUAUUACAGGGCUAGGAGGCGGGAGAGGCAAGCGGUACUUUAUGGGUAGGGGUAAAAUCCGCUGAUCCAUAGAAGACCACCAGUGGCGAAGGCGGCUUGCCAGAACGCGCUCGACGGUGAGGGAUGAAAGCUGGGGGAGCAAACCGG